GUGCUUGCUUCAGCAGCACAUAUACUAAGAUUGGAACGAUACUGAGAAGAUUAGCAUGGCCCCUGCACAAGGAUGACACACAUAUUCAUGAAGCAGUCCAUAUUUUU